UACGAAGGGAGCUAGCGUUGUUCGGAAUCACUGGGCGUAAAGCGCACGUAGGCGGAUUUGUCAGUCAGGGGUGAAAUCCCGGGGCUCAACCUCGGAACUGCCUUUGAUACAGCAAGUCUUGAGUUCGAGAGAGGUGGGUGGAAUUCCGAGUGUAGAGGUGAAAUUCGUAGAUAUUCGGAGGAACACCAGUGGCGAAGGCGGCUCACUGGUCCGGUACUGGACGCUGAGGUGCGAAAGCGUGGG
rnacentral:rRNA from 1 species